UACGGAGGGGGCGAGCGUUAUUCGGAAUUAUUGGGCGUAAAGGGCGCGUAGGUGGCCCUGUAAGUCAAAGGUGAAAUCCCUCGGCUCAACCGAGGAAUUGCCCUUGAAACUGCAGGGCUUGAGGGCGGCAGAGGGAAGUGGAAUUGCUGGUGUAGCGGUGAAAUGCGUAGAGAUCAGCAGGAACACCCGUGACGAAGGCGGCUUCCUGGGCCGCCCCUGACGCUGAGGCGCGAAAGCGUGGGGAGCGAACGGG
rnacentral:rRNA from 1 species